ACCGGGGCAGUAGCGGAGCCCUGUUGCCUGCAAUCCGCUAUAGCAGGGGUGAUGCCGAGCCGAGGGCCAAAUUUGAUGGAGCUGCCCUCUCAAAGUGGUGUUGACGUCUGGGUCUUACGCGACGGAAACCUGUGAACCGUGUCAGGGUGGGAACACAGCAGCACUAAGCAGGACCUUUCGGGUGCCGUGAGGGUGCCUUGGCCGAGCUAACUGGAGAGGUAACGUCUGUUGGGUGCGAUUCGGAGCAAGGCGCGCG
rnacentral:SRP_RNA from 1 species